CCAUACUGCUUUCCAUAUUGGCUGCACCAAUUUGCAGUCCCACCAGCAGUGUAUGAGUGUGCCUUUUUCCCCACAUCCUCACUAACACUUAUUGUUGUUUGUCUUCAUAAUAGCUGCCAUUCUGACUGGAGUGAGAUGAAAUCUUAGAGUGGUUUUGGUUUGCAUUUCUCUAAUUGCUAGAGAUGAGGAACACUUUUUCAUGUAUUUGUUGAUUGAUUGUACAUCAUCUUCUGAGAAGUGUCUCUUCAGGUUAUUUUUAUUUUUUUUCAGAUAUGGAACCUCUCCCUCUGGUGGGUUUGGGGUAAAAAUCAAGGUUUACCUCAAUCAUGAGGAUCCCUGUUUCUUUUGACUUUGACUUUUAUAAGGACGGGCUGUGACACGAAUAGCCAAGUGAAAGGUGGUCUGUGGGGGUUCUUUAUUAAAAAGAGACCCAUAGAAGAAAGUAUCCCUGUUGGUUUGAUGGAUGUGACACCAGCAAGUGCAUCAUUUUUCAUUCAUGGAGGAAGCUCAUUGAGGACUAAGAGGAAGAUAGCAAAGUGCAAGAUGGAGUGGAUUCCGACUCCCUUCAGCUACUGUAGAGCCACUAAGUCGACAUUGUGAAGUUCUAGAUACGUACAACACUAAUCCUGCUCUCAUUGUUGAAUCAUCUUGAUUUACCAACAGCCAGAAGUACUUUAAGUGAUGUGAUAUUUAAAUACUUCGUUAAAAUAUUGGUUGUUUUCCUUACCUGAAAUGUUAUAAAGAAGAAAACACAAGGGAGAUAAGUGAAUGACAGACACCCUCUGCAAAAAUUUGAAUUUCAUUCAUUUUAAGCAAUAUAUAUAUAAUUUAUUUAAAAAUUUAAAAGAUGAAACCCUGAGAGAGAGAAAAAAAUAGAGCUUAAAUCUAUGAUACAUCAACAUUUAAAAUUUAAGUUGUUAUAAUUUCCAGUGUUUUUAGUUCUGUGAGGUUGGAGAAACUGUAUUCCUUAUACAAAAGAACCAUGUGGUGCCCUUUCAAACGUAAUUUCUUAGUAUUAAAUUCAUACCGUUUUGAUUUGUUUAGUUUUUUUCUUUAUAAAUUUGAAAAUGUGCCCCUAAGCUCUAAAGGACCUCGCAUUACAGAAGCAGAAGACUGAAAGAGGCUUCUCGAUGAGCCGAUGGAGUUCUAUUCUGCAGUGGAGAAGGGAGCUAAGGUACCAGACUUUGGGAAAUGAUAGGAUUGUGUUCCAGGAAACCCAGAGCCUUUGAAGCACAGAGACCGCUGGACAGUAAGAGGAGCUGUGGAAUUGACUCAAGUUAUCCACUGAGGAUUAAGGUAAGAGGCCAAGAAUGUAUCCUUCAUUGGAAACUCUAAGUUUGUUUGGAUUUCUUUAACAAUACACCAUAAAUUGCAUAGCUUAAAACAACAAAAAUUUCUCAGGGCUACGGGGAUAGAAGCCCUGGAUCAAGGGACUGAAUGUCCAAAGAGAACCCACUGUUUGGUUCAUGGAUAGUGCCUUCAUCUGUGUCCUCACAUGAUGGAAGGAGAGAGGAUCUCUCAUGAGCCCCUUAUAUAGGGCCUCAAUCCCAUUCACAAUGGCUUCAUGCUCAUGAUCCAAUCACUUUCAAAGACCUACCUCCUUAUACCAUCAGUGUAGGGGCAGGAUUUCAACACACAAAUUCUAGGGGACACAAACUUUCAGAUCACAGUACCUUUCAGUAAUGCCUAGCAGAUGACAUCUAGCAGUAUCCUAAUUGAGGCAUUUGCUAUCCUCUGCAGAGAUAACAAAAUGCAUGACAACAUUUUGCAUUCUGGUUUCAGAGAAAUAACUGCUCACAGUCAUGGGGUAGAGCAUGAACCUCUGCAUCAUGUGUAUGACCCUGUGCAUGGUGCCUCUGCAGUGAUGGAACUCCAUGUCAUUAAGCUGAGGAGGUCUCAAAAGACAUAAGUAAUGAGUGCCAUCCUUGGACUAGGUCACGAUAUAUGAUUAUAAAAUACAUAAAAGAUAUUUAUAGAUUUUUCUCCUUUAAUAAAUAUUUGACAUAAAUAUUAACAGAAACAAAGAUCAAAAUAAUAGAUUGGUGUGUUUUUUUCUGUUAAAAUACAUCUCAAUAAGGCAGAUAGCCCCCAAAUAAUGUGUUUUAUAUGAAAAUCAGGAAUGUGCAGAACAACGUGACCUAAAUAUUUGGCAACACUUUUUUUACCCUGAUGUUAUGCAGACAUCUGUUGUGACCCAGCUUCCCAAGUGCAGCUACUCAUGGGCUUGCAGUGGUCUUUGGGGGAACCAAGUCUCUGAGGAGACUCUUCCCAGUUUACAUCACCAAUAGUUCAGACACCACUGUAAUGGGAACCACAUGCCUCAGAACCAAACUGAGUGGGUGGCUUGGGCCCACCACUUGCUGUGUAAGUGUAAGCAACUUGCUUCCCUGGGCUGAGGGGUUCUGUUGUAAAGUGGAGCUAAUGAGGUCAUCUGUGAGUUGACACUCUUACAGCAUUUACAAUGGUGCCUGACAAAUAAUUGACACUUCAUAAUAUCAUCAUCAUUAUUUUCCAUAAGUAAAUAUUAAACAUAAUGAACAAAAAAAUUAUGAACAGAAAACAGUAGCUCCUAGAUAAUAGUUCUGAGAUUUCCUGAAUAAUCAGGAAUUUUACAAUGAUGAGUCUUCAUUGUGUUGAUAUUGAAGUACUACAAACAGGGUGGCUUGCAUAGGAGAGAUUGAUUGUCUCACUGCUCUGGAAGUUGGGAAUCCCAAAUGAACAUGUCUGUGGUGUUGGUUCUGAGAGCUUUGUGGAAGAGUCUGCUUCACGCUUUCCCUUGCUCCAGGUGGCUGAUUGGCAAUCUCUGUUGUUCCUUGGCUUCUCAGAAACAUCAGUCUGAUCUCUGUCUUCAUUUUGACAUGAUAUUUUCCCAUAUUGUUGCCUGUCUCCAAAAUUCUCCUGUAUAAGCAAAUAAUCUCCAAAUACAGUUACAUUCUGAGGAACUGGUUGCUUCACUAUGUGAAUUUUGAGGAGGAGUACCAAGGAUUUAACCCAGAAGCACUUCACAACUGAGCUAUACCCCCAGCUCUUUUAAAAAUUCUUUAUUUUAAGAAGGCUCUCACUAAUUUGUUUAGGGCCUCACUGAGUUACUUGGGCCAACUUCAAACUUGUAAUCCUCCUGCCUCAGCCUCUUGUGUGCCUAGGAUUACAAGCAUGUCACUGCACCAAUCCUUUAUGUGAUUUUUAAGGAACCCAAUUCAACCUAUAAUGACUGCAAAUUGGUAUAAUUAUAUUUUUGUUUCAAUAACCCUACUAUCACAUUUCCCCCAUCCAUCUAUUUUAUGUCAAAUGUAUUUUAUUUAAUAAUUUCUUAUAGGCUCUUAAUCCACUCCUUAUAUCAAUUUGGAGACAUUUUCUUCCUUUGUAUUAUAUAUAUAUAUUUUUUACUAUUUUAAUAUUUAUUGGUAGCUCUAACACUUAAGUAAAAUAGGAGAAAUUCAAUCCAUUUUAGAGUCACUCAUUAUUUGGUAAGCAGUUUGAGAAUUUCUAGUAAAAAUUAAAUUUGGAGAUGAAGUCUAAACUCAAUAUUGCGUGCCAAUAUUAUUCCCAACAUUGUAAAAAAUUCAGAAUUGAUUAUAUAUUAUCAAACAUUCAUUCAAGUAGGUAAAAUUAAAACUGGCACAGAAACGUGUUUAAACUUAAAGUUUGAAAUCUAUGGUUUUGCAAUCUCAGGUUCAAAUGCUGUCUGAAGGCAGAGUCCCUUGUCCUGAGUGAGCCUCGUCAUUUCUCAGUGCUUUCACCUGAUUGGAUGAAGCCUACUCACAUUGCAACAAGUAAUCUAUUGCUCUCAACAUCUUGUGAUUUCAUACUAAUAUAAUUUAAAAAUAAUCUUUUUAAUAUAUUGGUGUUUGACAUGCUGAGUACCAUGGCCUACCCACAUUGGCAUAUAACAUUAAGCAGCACAAUCUUGUCUUAUUGAGUUUGGUUAGGACUCAAGAGGAAGCCAUGCUGAGCGGUUUAUACAGACAAAAGUGAAAGCAUUGGCUUCCUAGGUUAAUAAUUUAUCACCAUCUACCACAACAUUACACCUCAGUCUAGUUUUGAUAUUCUUCCUGAAAAACAAUUUAAAAGAAUAUAUUAUGGUGAAGAGAAAAAAGGAAAAUAGCUUUAAAAUUCAUCUAAAUAAUCAGUACAAUGCUAUUUGACUACUAAAUAACCUUAUGUUAUGGUUUGGAGUAAUGUAAUGGUUAAUUCAACUGCCACAGUGUAUCCUGUGAGCUCAAUUAUUGCAAAAUAUGUAAACAAUGUUCAAUAGCCUUCUUAAUGCUCUCAUUUGGAUGAAUGUAUGUUAAUUUUGAUCAGCCCAAAUUCUCUUUAUAAAACACGUGGAAAAUUGCUGGGCUAAAGAUUGUGUUUUGCCGCAGUCUGGCUGGGCACAAAUCACGAGCCACUCAAGAGGAACAAACUUUAUUUCUGAACUCCACCAGCACACUCCACACACGCUCCCCAGGAACUCUCCCGAACGCUACGUGGCUCCUCCUGGAACCACCAACCGGAAAUCCCUCCUCCAGCACUUCCCCAACCAAUGGGAACUCUUCAGGAAUCCCCGCAAGACCUCAAUGGAACUCAACGGGAACUCCGAGAGAACUCAAAAGUCAUCAUCUUAAUGGCUCGCUGGCGUCACCUGUCAACCACUACUUCUGGCAAAAAUGCCGUGGGUCAUCCCGACUCGGCUGUGGCCCUCAACAGUGUUUACUAUCCUGCCAGACAAAGUCAGGUCUGGGUUAAUGAGUGGUCACCUUGUGUGAAUGCACCCGGUAUUCCAGACAUGCUGUAGCCCCUUACAGCUUGCCCAGUGGUCCAUACCUGGAGCGCUGCCUGAGACAGCCUUCUUGCACCCCCAUUGUGUUCCUCCUCCUAAAGGCACCUACAAGUUCCUCCUUCUGGGUACCCUUGUCUGAUUCUUCCUCCAGGUUUGUCCAUAAACCUCUGUGUAAGAAUGCAUUCCAUCUUAAACUGUAACUACCUCUAACUCUCUCCUACUGGAAGUGUUAUUCAACUUGGCUAAAGUUAUGAACUCUAUUUUUCCCAUUCCUUAAGUAUUUCAGGUUUAUAGCUCAAAGAAAGUAAUUGAGAAAUCUUUGGAAAAUAGAAGCCUACUAAUUUCUUAAUUUAUAUAAUCAAUCAGAAAGUGUUUAUGUCUCAUGAACCCACGUCUCACUCAAAUCACCACAAUGGAGAGUUUUAUAGCUCAUUCACCUUUCUGGAGUUAAGUCAGUCCACAGGCCUAGAGUCUUCUGAAUGAAACGGAGAUCUUAUCUCCUUGAGGAAAGACUGUAUUACACGGUCAGAAAUUAAUAGUGCAAAUCUUCCUCUUGCUUGUCUCCAAAGGGGCCUGAGAUGAUUUACCAGGGUGGAUGUGCAUUAGAAGAGAGAAAUUACACUUUGCAGGCUCUAAAUUUAGACUUAUUGUUAGGAAUUUAAAAUGCCAUGGUCUACUAUUCAUAUUUAGCUCCAGAAAUUAUUCUAUAUUCAUUCCCUGAACUGUGGAGCAAGGACCAAGGACCAUUAUUGUAGGAAAGGUAAAGUUGAACUGCUUCCACUUAUCAAAGUUAAUAAACUAAAAACAAUCACCUCCUGGAAGAACUGUAGAGAUGAUGCCUCUGUCAAGGACCUAAAGAACACAGGGGAUGCAUAGGAGAUUGAAACUGCAGAAAAGAACAGUGGAGUAUCAUCAAUUUAAUUGUAUGGUGACUCCAGUUGUGGAUGUUCCUCCAGUUAUAGGUUCUAUCUAGAAGCAAAUUAAAAUAGCCCUUAUUACCAGGCAUGUGGCUAUUAAUCUGGUGCAUAUUCUUGAGCUUUAUGUUUUUAAGAAAUGAUACUAAAAUUGUACUGUCUUCCUCUGGCAGGAUUAGCACAACACUGUCUUAUCUCAAGACCCUCCACCCUCCAGCCCUGUGCAAUAAUGUAGCCCACUGGGAUCUUGAUGCCCACUAGGAUCUUGUUCAUUCUACAGUACAUUCUGCUGAUGCUAUAUAUCGGUGCUCAGAUCUGGUGAGGAUAGAAUACAACAUGUCAUAGGCUCCAUGACUAGUGACAUACCUGAAUACCAGAAACAGGAAAUACAUACCUAAACAUGCAAGGCCCUUCUACCUUGGUAAAAUAACUAGAGGCCCGGUGUCCUGGGGGUACAUUGAGCUAUUUCCUCCAAGGGGAAGGACUCUUUAGAUUUGUGGAGUGUACUUUAUCCUAAUUAAUGAUUAACCUAAGGAUCUGUCCAUAUUGAAUGGAGGCUAGAUAAUAGUAAUAGGUCCAGAGAGUCACACAAGACCUCUGCUGCUGAGGUCUUAUGACCCAGUAGAACCAAAGUGCUUGAAGGGUUUGUGAAUGAUGAGAAUGCUGCACAGAGCAUUUGGCCAGUCCCUCCAGAAUCACAGAGCAAACCUUCAGGAUUGGGAACAAAGCUCUGCCUUCUGCACAGACAGUGAGUUUGUGAUAUCUUCCGCCUCCUGCAGCCCCCUAGUUGAGAAUGUCUAGAAAGUAACCCCUCAACCUAGUCUCCCCUUGGAGGACUGGGAGACAUCUGAACUGCAAUGAAGCUGGGUGAGCAUGGCAGCUUUCUGUUUAAAAGUUGAAGUUAUACUGAUGCUUAAGACUGAGUCCAAACAAACCUGAAGGCAAAUGUGGCACAAAAAGAGAGACUGAGACCUGCAUGCUUCCUUCUGCUUCCACAAGUGCUCUCUCAGCUCAAGCACAUGGCCACACAGGGACUGCCUUAGGAAAAGAAUUGGAACCUGUCUUAUAGAUGAUUCCUAUGAUGUGCUGGCUCACCUGAAAGGAGACAGCCCCAACCCUACAGCCCCACUCUGGGACACCCUUCAGCAGCCCUCUCUUCAGGAACCCUGAAGUACUGUGACAAGGAAGACCCAUCCUGUGGCAGAACUUCAAGCAAGGCCACGGUUAUUCCUUUUUUCUAGAAGGAGAGAUUAUCAGAGGUACUCACCCUUAGUAACUCAUAAGUAGUGACCGUUGAUUAGCUACGUGCAACUUCAGAGGAACAGAUUUGGGAAACCUGUGACCAAGGAGUCAGCGAAAGAGGUGUGGGGCUGGCCUUCUCUGCAUGGUCACAGCAUGAGGAGGUUUUUGUCCCAUUAUUAAUGUAAUGGCUAGAAUGCUGGCGGACUGGCUGCAGUGUGAAAAGGGGUUUAAAUCAGCGGCUCUUAAGUUUAAGUGAUUUUAAAAAUCACCAAUGAUUUUUAAAAAAUUAAUGUAUUUUGAUUUGCAUUUUCUUACUGAUUAAUAAUAUUGAGUAUUUUUUUUUACUCUUUUUGGCCAUUUGUAUUUUUUCAUCAGAGAAAUGUCUAUUAAGGUAAUUUGUCCCUUUUGCAAAUGUUCUCUCCCAUUCUGUAGCAUUUUGUAGGCUUUUUUUUUUUUUUUUUUUGGGGGGGCUGUGGGUCAAACCUAAGACUGUAUGCUGAGCAUGCGCUCUACCAUCUCUACCAUUGAGCUGAAGGAUUUUCUUGGUCUGAUAUCAUCACAUCUGUCUAUUUUUAAUUUUGUUGUCCAUGGUCUGGGGGUUAUUUGAAAAAAAAAUCAUUGCUUAUGCUGAUGUCUUAAAGUGCUUCAAAUAAGUUUUAUUCUAGAAGUUUUAUAAUUCCAGGUCUAUGUUUCAGUUUUUCAUCCAUUUCAAGUUGAUUUUUGUACAAGUUGAGAGAGAAGUCAAGUGUCAUAUUUCUAUGCAUGUAUAUCCAGUUUUCCCAGAAGAAAUUGUCCUUUCUCGAGUUUAUGUUUUUAGCAUCUUUGUGGAGAAUAGAUGAGUUAUAGAUUGAUGAUUUCAUUCCUGGGAUCUCUAUUCUGUUUCAUUGGUCUAUGUAUCUGUCUUCAUGUCAGUAUCAUCAGGGAAAUGUAAAUUAAAACCACUAUCAAAUAUCAUCUCAUUCCAGAUAGAAGAGCCAUUAUUGAAAAGACAAAAACAAAUAUUAAAUACUAGCAAACGUGGAGAAAGGGGGACUUUUAUACACUGUUGGAGUUAAUAUAAAUUAGUACAUGCACUAUGGAAAACAGUGUGGAGGUUCCUAAAAUGUCUGUCCAUAGCAAAUAAAAUUAGCAUAUCAAAGAUCUACCUGUAUUCUGAUAUUUACUUAGCACAGCAGUUACCCAGCUAUCACAAGAAAAUAGAAUUACCAUACCGAAAAGAUGUCUGCAUUUCUAUAUUUACCCAGCACAAUAACUAAGAUAUGGAAUUAACUAGGUAGGUGUUCAUUGAUGGAUGGAUGGAUAAAUAAAAUGUGGCAUAUAUACACAUAGAAUUUUAUUUAGCCACAAAGAAUAAAAUUUUAUAAUUUGUAGUAAAUGGAUGGAAAGAGAGGACACUAUAUUAAGUGAAAUAAGCCAGACAUAGGAAAGCAAACACUCUAUGUUUUCCCUGAUAUCUAGAAGCUAAAAAAAAGCCAAUCUGAAUGUGGAACAGUGAUUAAUCAAGGCUCAGAAAGGUGAGCCAGCUUGGUAAUAAAGGAAGGUUGGAUAAUGUUUACCAAACACAGUAGAAAGAGGAAUGAGUUCAGGUAUUCUGCAGCACAGUGGGAUGCAUAUAGUUCACAAUAGCCUGUUGCAUAUUUUAUUAACAUCUAGAAUAGAAGAGCUCGAAGGAUUCAAACAUAAAUAAUUGAAAAGGAUAGGGAUGUAUCAGUUACCCUGAUUUGAUUAUGCAUAUUAUAUGCAUGGGUUGAAAUACUGCAAACGUCACUGUUUAAUUUGUGGAACUGUUAUAUAUUAAUAAAAAAUAAAACAGUUCAAUGCAAUGCAAAGUAUUCCUAAACACACACAAAAAGUAAAACAUAGAUAUACUGUGUACCUUUAAGAGGUUUGUGACAUUUCUAAUCUAGAUCAUGUCCAGCAAUCUUUAAGACUAAAGGUUAAGAAAGUCUCUUUAAACUGGUACAUGUCUCUGAAGACUUGGAAAUCAACUAAUUACUGAUUUCAAAGAAAAGUAAACAUGCUUUGGAGAUUAGCAACCAGUAAGUACCUGGUUAAUAUAUUUUAAUGAAUCAGAGUCCAUUAAAUUCCUUUUCCUGUCAAGCUCUCUAUCUUACUGCUAUUGCCAUUAACACUCCAUAAUUAAAAGACACAACAUCUUAAAAAAAUUUUAUUAGAGAAUUAUAAUUAUACAUAGAAUUUGGGUUCAUUUUAAGAAAAUAUACAUGCAAGGGAUUUUAUUUCAAUACCCAUCUCCCCUUCCCUCACAUCCAACCCCCAUUAUCUCACCUCUAAUCUAUUAAACUUUCUCUAUUAUACAUAUACACGAAGGUGAAAUUCCCUUUGAUGCCUUUUUAUAUGAAUAUAACAUGAUUUUGUUAAUUUCAUUCCAUUUCUCUUCCCCUCUUCCUCCCUCUUUCUCAUUCUCCUUCUGCCCUACAGACCUUCCCUAUAUCUUUAUGAUAUCUGAUUCCUCCCCCUCCUACCUUUUUUCCCUUAUUUAGCUCUAGCUUCCACAUAUGAGCAAAGCAUGCACCCUUGAUUUUCUAAGUCUGGUUUAUUUCACUUAGCAUGAUUUUCUCCAUUUCCAUCCACUUACUGGCAAAUGCCAUUAUUUCAUUCUUUAUGAUGAAUAAAGCUCCAUUGUGCAUAAAUAUCACAUUUUGCUUGAUUCAUUCAUCUAUUGAUGAUCAUUGGGGUUGGUUCCAUAUUUUGACUGCUGUGAAUUGUGCUGCUGUAUACACUGCAGUGGCUGUACUGCUACAGUAUGCUGAGUUUAGUUGUUUUGGAUAAACACUGGGGAGUGGGAUAGCUAGGUCAUGUGGUGUCUCCACUCCUAGUUUUGUGUGGACUCUCCACACUGCUUUCCAAGGUGGCUCUACUAAUUUGCAGUCCCACCAAGAAUAAUUUGUACAUUUCCCCCACACCCGCACCAACAUUUGUUAUUAUUCAUAUAUUUGAGUAUUGCCACUCUGACUAGAAUGAGAUAAAAUUUUAGUAUAGUUUUGAUUUUCACAUCCUUAAUUACUAGAGAUGUUGAACACCUUUUCCUAUAUUUCUUGGCCAUUUUUAAUUUCUUCUUUUGAAAAAUGUCUGUUUAGUUCUUUUGCCCAUUUAUCAGUUGGGCUAUACAUUAUUUGGCAUUGAGUUUUUUGAGUUCUUUAUAUGUUUGGGAUGUUAAUUUCCUGUCAGACUAAUAGCUGGCAAGGUUUUCUCCCAUUCCAUUGGCUCUUUAUUCAUCUCUUCUUUACUCUGAUGUGCAGAAGCUUUUGAAUUUGAUGGUAUUCCACUAAAAACCCUUGGUUUUUUAUCUUGAGCUUUAGGAGUCUUGUUCAGGAAGUCAGUUCCUGCAUCUAUAUGAUGGAGUGUUGACCUUCUGUUAUCUUCUGGCAGUUGCAAGAUUUCUGGUCUAAUUUCUAAGUCUUUGAUCCAUUUUGAUUUGACUUUUGUGCAGGGGGAAAGAUAGAGAAUCAAAUUAAUUCUUCUGCAUAUGAAUAUCAUUUUCAAAGCACCAUUUAUCAAAAAAGCCAAGUAUCAGAUAGCUAUAAAAUGUUAUUUAUAUAGCUUCUAUUAUAUUCCAUUGGUCUUCAUGUCUAUUUUGAUGCCAAUACAAUGCUAUUUUUGCUUCUGUUGCUCUAUAGUAUAAUUUUAGAUAAGAUAUAGUGAUGCAGCAUCAUUUUUCUUGUUCAGAAUUUCUUUGGCUAUUUCAAAACCUCUUGUUCUUCCAAAUAAAUUUUAGAACUUUUAUUUUUCUAGUUUUGUGAAGAAUGCAUUGAAAUUUUGAUGGGGAUUUCAUUGAAAAUAUAUAUAUAUAUAGCCAUUUUCACCAUAUUAAUUCCGCCUCUCCAAAACAUGGGAGUGUCUCUAUCUUCUGAGGUCCUCUUCCAUUUCUUUCUUCAGUUUCUAUAGUUUUCAAAGUAGAGACCUGUCACCUCCUUGGUUAGAUUAAUUCCCAGCUAUUUCUUUCCCUACCUCUCUCCCUCCUUCCCCUUCUAUCUUUCUUUCAGGUUGUUUUAGUCAGAUUUUUCUUUGCUGUGACUAAAAGACCUGACCAGAACAAUUUUAGGGGAGGAACAGUUUAUUUGGGGGCUCUUGAUUCCAGAGGUCUCAGUCCACAGACAGUAGGUUCCAUUCCUCAGGGAUCCAGGUAAGGCAGAACAUCAUGGUGGAGAAAUGUGGCAGAGGGAAGCAGCUCACAUGAUCAGGAGAGAGAGAGAGAGAGAGAGAGAGAGAGAGAGAGAGAGAGAGAGAGAGAGAGAGAGACUGACUCACUCCAUCAUCAGAUACAAAAUAUAUAUCCCAACAGCAUACUCCCCAGAGACCCACUCCUCUAGCCACACCCUACUUGCCUUCAAUUUCCAUUCAGUUGAUCCCAUCAGGAGAUUGAUUCACUGAUUGGGUUAGGACUCUCACUUGAGCUUUGGAGGGCACCUCACAUCCAGACUAUAACAGGGCGGUUUGUGAAAGGGAUGGUUUUCCUGAUUUCUUUCUCAGCUGAAUUGCUGUUGGAGUACAGAAAAGGUAUUGAUUUUUGAGUGUCGAGCUUGUAUACCCUCUACUUUUCUAAAUUCAUUUAUGAGCUCUAGAAGUCUUCUAGUGGAAUUUUUUCAGUCUUCUAGAUAUAGGAUCAUGACUUCUGAAAACAGAGAUAGUUUUACUUUCACUUUUUAAAUUUGUGUCCCUUUAAUUUCCUUCAAUUGCCUGAUUGCCCUGGCUAGAGUCUCAAAAACUGUAUUGUAUAGAAGUGGUGAGAGUGAACACCCUUAUCCUUUUCCUGAUUUUAGAAAGAAAGCUUUAGUGUUCCUCUAUUCAGUAUGAUACUGACUGUGGGUUUGCUGUAUAUAGUCUUUGUAAUGUUGAGGUAAGUUACUUCUAUGCCUAGUUUCUCCAGUGUUUUUAAAAUUAAUGUUGCUAUAUUUUAUCAACAGCCUUUUAUGCAUCUGUUAUGAUGAUCAUAGGAAUCUUAUUCUUAAUUCUAUUUAAGUGCUGAAUUGUGUUUAUUGAUUCACAUAUAUUGAACUGGCCUUGCAUCCCUGGGAAGAAGCCCACUUGAUCUUGGUGUUUUAAAAUGGUGUAUUAUCUUCUUAAUAUGUUUUUGAAUGUGGAUUGCUAAUGUCCUGUUAAGGAUUUUUGCAUCUAUGAUGAUAAGAAGAAACACAACAUUUUACAAAUGACCUUAGAGAUCAACUAAUCUUACUUCCCCUGUCGUGGGUAUUACUGAUGAAGAAAUAGACCUAAAACAAAGUCAGUUGGCAGAACUAUGACACAUUUUCAGACAUGGGAAACAAAAAUUAUAACUAACAUUUAUAUUGUACUUAUUUCCAAUGUGAUAGACACCAUGGAAAGUGCCUUACAGGUAUUUAAUAAAGUAAUUCUCACACAGCCCUAUUAAUAUCAUCUCCAAGGGAACUAAGUCUUGAUAAAUUUUUCCCAAGUCACAAGGUUGGCAUAUGAUGAAAGUCGUAGGUACAGGCUCUGACACAGACUGGUGUUAAGGGCAUCAUUUAUAGCCAUUUCCUUUCCUUUCCUCAUUCCUUCUUGUGGAACUAUGAAAAAUUGGGUUCUAUAUAUGUAAUAAGAAUUGUAAUACAUUCUGCUGUCAUAUAUAAAUAAGAAAAGAUCAGAACCUGAUUUUCCUAACUUACCGACUUUUCUAUUCUUGAGCCACACCACUACUUCCCAUGCCUCCUUCUUUGCCUUCCCUCAACCUGAUCAACAGUAGUUGAUGAAGCACCUAUCCCUGACUAGAUGCAACUUACUUACCUUUGUUAUUUUAUUAUUUUUUUUAUUAUUUUUUGGACUAAAAAUCAGAUAUUUCCCUUGAGCAUGUCUCCAUAAGAAAAAUUACUUAAAUUAAGGCCUUUUAAAUACUUUGUUAUGGCUUCAUUUCCUCCCCCACAUUUCACUGUACAAUAUUUUCUACCAGCUUGAAUAGUUUUCUGCAUAACUCUAAGAGUAUAUUUAAUCCUUGUUAUUUUUUCUUGGCUCUGCAUUCCCUUUAAAUGAGAUCAGCUAACUUGAUUUGACAUGAAAUAAUAAACAAAUCUUCUAAAAAGUAUCAUUUUACUCUUUCGUGAAGGACUCCAACAAGCGUUUAGUGGUUAUUACACAAGCAAACUUUUAGUGGUUAUUACCGGCAGCAUUGUGUCUAGAAGAAUAUUGCAACCCUGCAGCCAAGUCAGUGAAGAGCCUGCUUCUCCUUUCAUGACAUGGAUACAUUCCUUAACCAUUUUAUUAUAAUUCCAGGACUUUGUUGUAGUGGGUAACUAACCCAAGCCUGGGUACAAAAUAAACUAACAUUGUUGUGACCAGUAGUGUCUGGGAAAGGGAGAGUCUCCCUCCCCUCCCCUUCUAGUCAGCUCUUCUCUGGGAAAGUAAUUACCAUCAUUCACUCUUACCUUUUGGAUUGUAAAUGACUUCCCCUAGGAUCUAACCACUUUUCUUUGAAGUGUCAACACCCCUUUGAAUGAAGGCCCAAGGCUAGAGAUUCACCCAAAGCCUUGUAAGAGGAGGCAUUCCCUGCAUGUAACACCCUGAUUCUGUAAACAUGCUUCCUAGUUGAAAAUCCUUACACACAAUCAUAUAUGGGGUUUGAAACCCCAUGUAGAGCCAUGCAUCAUUGUAGACUAGAAAAUUUAUAACACCAGAUAACCUAUCAAUGUUGUGAAAAAUUGGUGAUGGGCAUUCAGAAUAUGGAGUGUUGAUCUCCUUUGGGUCCCCAGGGUCAAAUAACGUUUGAUUUCUCCCACUCUUCUGUGCCGUUUGCUGCUUCUUGCCUGACUCCUGCAGCACUGCAACUUUAUGUCCUCUGUCUUUAGAUCAUCAUGGAAAAGAAAGUUGGAACAUUGCUUCUUAUAAAGGCUUCAUAGACCCCCAAACAUCAAAAUUUCAAACAUGAACUUGAUUAUUCUAAUUUUAAAAGUUAUAAUUAGUUUGCCCUGAAAUUAAUGAAAAAAAAAAAUAGGGGCUAAGUAGGUUUAGCAUAAAGUCAAGGAGUUAACAUUUGAUCUGUAAAGUCAAGGAGACAACAUUUGAUCUGUGAAGAUGAAUUAAGAAAAUUCAACAAUAUUAUGGAAGAAAAAUAUUCAAAAUGAGGGAACAACACAUUUCCUAGUUUUCUAAACAAAGGGUAGCUUUUGCUGGCAAGGGGUUGACUUUUUCAAGUGAUUUGAUUCAUUGCAAAUGUGACUGGGUGAAGUUUUUAUUUGAUGAGGAGAAAGAAGUUUCUUCCAUUGCAACCAUGUGAUGGUUAAUCUGGAUUAGCAACUUGAUUGGAUUGAGAGAUGGCUAGGAAGCACCCAGGAUUAAGAUUCUUCUGAGGGUCUCUGAAGGUGUUUCUAGAGGCCAUCUGUAUGUGGGACAGCAAACUGAGAGGGGAGAUGCAUCCCAAAUGUGAAGGCACAGACCAAUUAGCUGGGGUCCUGGAUAGAACAAAAGGCAGAAGAGGAAGUCACAGCAGAGGCAAGCCCUGUUCUUCCUGGGCAGGUGUGUCCACUGCUGCUGCCGUCACCCAUGUGCAUCAAACUCCUGUGUAUGUAGUCCUCCAUUGUGGACUUUCACCAGUGGCUCUCCAGGAGAUCCAGGCCUUCAGUCUUGGACUGCGACUGCACCAGUGGUCUCUCUCCGUCUGAGGCUAGUAGCUUCUUGGGUACUACUGGGUCUUUUGACUGUCCAGACUAUAGAUGGCCCUUGUGAGGCUAUUCAGUUUCUGAUCCAAUGCACCAGUCUAAGAAAUCUCCUUGUUUAAUUAUGCAUACAUACACAACCUGUUGGUUCUGAUACCCUCAAGAACUCUGACUAGUAAAAAGGAUUCCAUUUCUACUGGAUUAUCCACUGACUUUGCUCAGAAAGGAUGGCAACAUGUUGCUCUGGAGUUUUGAAAAAAUCUUUUAGUACACCUAAAGUAUUUGAAAUCCUCUGAGACCUUAUCUAAUUUUUCAGUGGGGAAAAUUAGGAACAUACAUCAGAGCACAGUCACACAUUUUUAUAAUGAGAAGUAGUUUCUGAUAAAGACUAGGGCACUGCACACUUGGGUUAUCAAUUUAGGACUCAGGUUAGAAAUUAUCAGUUGGGAGAUUUGGAUUAUCUUAUUUUUAAGUUGGUUGUCGAUUCAACUUUCAGCCUAGAAAAUUCUGUGAAAUACUCCAAUAUCCUUUGUGGUAACAUCUCUCAAUUUUUUCAACUCACACUCCUAGUGCUGCAUUAGCUAGACCUGGUGAGUUUAAUCAUACUUUCCUCAAUACAGAGUCUGUGAAUAUCUGUGAAUUCUUUUGAGUAAAUUUUGGCACUCAGCCAUCAGGCUUCCUAAGUUACUUUGGGAAUCCACAUGCUUUUGAGUCAGAGUUUACAAAGCAGUCACUAAACCAGUAUUUGACAGAUUUUAGGAUUCAAAAUGAGGUAAAGCAGCAAAUAUUCAAUUCUUUGUUAUUCCCAUUUGAAGAAUCCUAUCAUUUUUUUCCCCUUCAAUUUCAAAAAUUUUGUUGCAAAACUCCUGUAGAGUAUCAGGCAGUUACUCUAAUGAAAUGAAUUCUCAUAGCCUACUGUAAAACAUCCAUUUAUCCACUUGUUUCAUUGUUUGGUUCACUCUCUUCUGACUAGGUACUUGAGAAAACAACAGCGAUCGCAAGAUCCUUUCCAUUUUCUGCUCAGAAAAAGUUUUUACAGUAGAUGUGAAAAAAAAAAAUCUCACCUCCAAAGAUGCUGGUUUUAGUAAAUAGAUAAAUAAAGGACAUAGGUGAGAGCUGUGAGCAGGAUGCACAAAGCAGCCAGAGCUCCACACGUGGCGAGACCAGCUGAGUAAGAAGGUCCCUGUAUAAUGGUAUCAAUGUCCUGUCACCCUCAGUUGCCUGUUUUUUUUUAAAAGAAUAUACAAGUGUGAAGUCCAGACCCAAACAGGCCUGGCGGGACGCAGGGACGAAGCAGGGAGGCAGAAGGAAGGGACUCCUGGUGGCCCCAUACUUGCUGGGAAUGAAAGAACCCUCACCUUUCCUUGCCAGUCUCCUCAAGACGCCAGUUAGGGACCCUGUCGCCAUAGAAACGCCAGGGCGGGGCGGCCGAGUAGCUGGGCCUAUGAGCUGGGGAGAAGUGCCACGCCCACGCCGGACGCACAGUGAUUGGCCUCGGCUACUCAGACCAAGCAUCCUAUUGGUCGCAGGUGCAGACCGCGCGCUGUUGGUCAGUGCGCGCGAGCUCAGGGUUGGCCUACAGUGCUUGGUCCCCGGACUCCCCAGGCCCAGGGGGUGCAGCUGUGGUGAGGACCCUGUUGGCCCAGAUCCAGGUUUAGCCCACUCCUCUAUCGCUUGCAGGGCAGGGAGGUGCCUGAGGUCUGCGUGGCCGCUGCUUGCCUACGUUGCCUCCAGUGCGGGGGUUGAGGCCUGCGGUCCUGCUGGCUGUCUAGACUCUUGGGAGCAAGGAGUGGCUCUGCCAGGAUCACCAGGCACAGUGAGCGCGGUCUCCACAGACCCUCCCCCUCCCCUCGGGUGGCGGUCCCUCAUCUGGACUCUGGGUAGCGCUUGCUGGACAGGGCCGUCAGGAAAGCAGCUGCUGAAGUGACUGACUGUUAGUGAUACUGUGCAGCAGGGGUGCAACAUCACAUCUGGCAGCGUCGGUAAUAACUGUCUAUCCCCAUCGUCGUACUAUUUUUGAGACAGUAUUACUAACUUAUUUAACAGAUAUUGAACGCCUACUGUUUGCCAGGUGCAUUUUCUUACACCUAGCAUUGUAGAAUUGGAAUAACCUUAUGCAGUGAUUUUAUUUUUUAAUGCCUUGCCUACCAAAACUAUCAACCAUUUCCUUUCUUUAAGAAUUAAUUUGCUCUUAGGUAAUCAGAAAAGCAUAAACUUAAUUUUAACUACUCCUUGGUGGCAGUUCAAAAGCCUAAAUCAUGUUUUUGAGUUUUAAUCUUUCCUAACAAAUCUUCCCUGACAGUUGCCCCAUUUAGACAGUGUAUUGAGUUUGGAAAGUGCAUGAAUAACCUUCUGUGCAAAAGCAUGCAUCAAAUACUUAAAAAGUGUUUAUUUUAUCAGAAAUAUUUUUCAAUGAUAAUGUAUACUCUUUGAGCAAAUUGGCAUGUUCACUGUAUUUCACCAUUAAAGUUUAGGAUGAAAUUGCCAUCAGGAAACUUACAAUUUUAGUAGAAUUAACUUUGGGUUUCUUUUUCAAAAAAGACAAAGAAACAAAACAGGGCAUUUAGAAGUAUUACAUUAUCACAGAUAUGGUCUAACUUCUUUUAUCAAAGAUAUAUUAUUAUCUCCUUUUAUAGAUAAGGAAUCCAAGACCAGGUCAGUUAAUAGCUUACUCAGUUACACAUCUAAUAAAUUGUAUAUACCCAGACACAAAUCCUUGUAGUCUAACUCUGUGUUCCGACUUUGAACUGCUAUAUUUCUAAAUUUGGGGUCAAUUUCUGUGUUAACCUUAGUUUAAUGGUGAAUGUUCAUAUUCAUUCUCUCUACUAGCUUUUGGAGUGAUUGCCAUUGAUUCUAACUGGAAGGCUAACUUAGCAUAUCUCCAGUAGAGUGCAUACAGACGUAUCCUACUCUAGAAUUUGUGCCUAUAUUGUAUUUUUAACUGACUUCUUCUGUUAAGUAGGGGUCAUCUUCCUGUUCAACAUAUGGAAACAUUUUAUAAUCUUUGAAGGGUCAAAAGAAUUCCAAGAAAAGAUAGAUAAUUCUUCUCUAAUUUUACUAAAAUAACUUUUAGUUCUAUUUUUGUGUGAAUAUUGUUGCAGUCAUAAAGAUUUAAGGGACUUGUUAUCUUACAGGCCUUUUUGUUACAUAAUAAGCAUUCUAUUUUCUUUUCAUGUUUUCAAAGCUACAUUGCAUAUAGCAAAUAAAGUCUUCUCAUCCCUUUUAUAGACUUGGUAUAACUGAUAAUUCUUAAAUCUUUUCUUAAAGAAAUGGCCAGCCGUGACCUUGUGUUGUUGUUCUUUGCUACAGGGGAAUUGUUUAUUCUGACUUUGGACACCCCCACCCAGUUAAUGAAGAAUAUUGAUGAGAAUUCAUAAAAAAACACCUGGUGUUCUCACCAGGACCAUUCCUCAGGAUGUGUCCUUGGGAGCAUUUUAGAUUGUACAUGUUUAAGCCCCACAUUCCUAGAGAGUCUGAUUCAAUAACUUAAUUUUGGAGCAAGGGCUGGGGUUUUUGGUUGGGAACUAUUGAUGUCAGGUGACACAAAUAACUUCCUUUUUUUCCUGCUAAUCACCUGGCUUUGAAGCCAUAACUUAAUUUUACACGUCCUGUGAAGUGGCAUUAAUAAGAUCCUGGUGCACUGGAGAUAAUGGAAGUGGCCUAGGAUUGCUUAUGAACUUGCAAGUUUAUUACCAAAGGAGUUCCAGGGAAUGUGUCAUGAAGGAGGGAGCUCAGUACUACAUUUGGGUUGAAAGUAGGUGUCCACUUGGUAUCAUGAUGUUCUGGUCACCCUCUGACACUGCUAACCAGUCGUGUUUCUGUACAAGUUACUGCCCAAGGGGACACAGGACCUGGAGCAGUUUUAUAUUCUAAAUUAAGCUAAUGUGUGUUUAGACUUCCCAUUUUACUGUUUCAGACAGCUAAAGCUACAGUUGCUAAUAGAUGCUUUUGUACCAGAAGAUGACAUGUGAGACACUUAAGUUUUCAACUAUGGUUCUUCAAAACCUAUCCCACCACUGUCUUGUAAAACUUGAAGCCAAGAGAAGAAUAUCUGACAAAGGUGGAGACUAGACACCUGAGUGGAAUUCUACCAAGACAUGGGACGUGGCAACUGAAAGACUUUGGCUACCUUGGGAAGACAGAAACUCAGAGGGGCUGAGGAGGAGAUGAAGAAUGAAACAAAAAACAGUUUUUGCAAAGUAAUGUGCUGUGAGGUGCAUCUUACAAUUAGAUUAUUUUAUUUAAUGCAUACUAAAUGCCAUGUACUGUUUAGAUGUUGAGGGAUAAAGGGUCAACAAAGUGGCACACGCCCCUCUGCCUCAGGGCACUUGCUGCCUUUGUGGGAAGCCACACUCAUAACAUGAUAACACAGGACAGAAAGUGCUGUGCAGGGGUGCCUGAGCACACAGGAAGGGCCCUUCACCCUGUCUUGUGAGUUAAAGGAGACAUUUACAUCUUCAGUAAGCAUGUAGUCAGUCUUCAGUGAGUCUCUAUUAAUAAUAGCAACAUUUACAUAGCAUAGUUUGCAUUUUAAGUAUUAACUGUUUUUACACAAUCGUAUUCCCAUGUUACAGAAAGGAAAAUUGAGGUAUAUAAAGUAAUGUGACAAAGAUCUCAUAGCCCUUAAGUGGCAAAAUUAGUUUUUGUAUCCACAUAGUUAGGCUUCAGUUUGUGAACUUAACACCAAGCUGUGCUUCUCUCCAUUUUUACCCCCUUGGAUUUUCCUUUCUUCUUGUGCAUGUGAAUGUAUAUAUACAAAUGACUGGGGCUUGGCAACUGAAGCCUUUUCCUGGAGAUGUAGCUAAGAGCUACAGCUACUUGAAGUGCCAACUGAGGCUGGGAAAUAUUCCAGGCUGAGGGACAAGAGGAGAAGAGACUUGCCGGUGUAAGAAGGCUUGGUCCUUGAAGGACAGUCAGGCCUGGCAAGGUACCUGGAGAGAAGAUGGUAAGGAAUACAAGGUGACAGGCUAGCAGGGUGUGGAUCCUGAGAGUCCUUAAGACUCCUAUUAAAGAGUUCAGGUUUUGCCCUGGGGCAGUCAGAAGCUCUUAAAUGACUUUAAGUCCUGGGAGGACAAAAUUGGACUAGCCACCUAGAGCUCUCAGUGGCUACAGGCCUCAAGUAAGUGGCGAUAGGAGCCUGUGUUUUCCAAAUAACAUGGAGAGAACCCACGUGGUGAUCUUGGAAUCAGAGAAAGUAGAAUUCUUGGAGUUAAAGGAUUCGGUAAGAGAUUUGGUAUAAAUUUUUAUAUACUAAAAGGUUAACUUUCUUUUGUUUCUUUCCUAGAGGUGAUAAAUGAUCACAGAGACACUCGUGGAAAUAUCAAACAUAGUUGCAGCUAAAAAACUAGAAGCAAUGAAAAUGUUGAUGGUUCUAAUUGUCCUCCAGGACAUUUGGUGAUAAAAGUAGAAAUUAAAGGAAGAAAGAGAAAGCUUUUGGACUGAAGACUCCACAAGACAUUUUUCUGAAGCACUUAAAGACAACUGGAUGGUAUAUUUAUAUUGGGGCAGUGCAUGAACCCUAGGUAAAAUAUAAAAGAACCCCUGCUGGUUUAAUAGUACAUGGUCACCACCUGCCAUCUCCCUCAUGGUGUCCACCUGCCCUGCCCCAUGAGCCCUGCCAAUGGUAGACUCUCUGAGCUGAAAGAUAGAACUCACUGCCAGGCAGCACCUUACGGAAGCCUUCACUCCUGGAGAACUUCAGAGACUUUGAGAUGUUCACAGUAAGUGCUGACACACAUCUGUCCUGGCCACCCCCUGAUCCAUACCUAGAUUCUGAACUGAAUAGAGGAGUACUGAACUCCUGGGAGCUUAGGCUGCUAAUACUGUUUGAACCAGGGGAAGGGAUUUGGCAUUUCUGUAAGAUAUCCCCUUCAGAAUCUAUUGAAAUUUGGAUAUAUUCAUUAAAUU
rnacentral:lncRNA from 1 species